AGCUCCAAUAGCGUAUAUUAAAGCUGUUGCAGUUAAAAAGCUCGUAGUUGGAUUUCGGGGUGAGAUGAGCCCGGUCCACCGCAAGUUCGGUGAGUACCGGCUCGUCCACCUCCUCCCUCUGGUGCCCCGUCCUUUCCCGUUGACUCGGGUUAAGGGCGUUGAGGGAGGAAAAGGGGGGCAACUCCUUUUUUCUUCCGGGGCCCAGACCUUUUACCUUGAGGAAAUUAGAGUGUUCAAAGCGGGCGCGAAAAAUCUCGCCGUUGAAUACGUCAGCAUGGGAUAAUGGAAUAGGACCCCGUUCCUGUUUCCGUUGGUUUAUCAUUGGGAAUGGGGUAAUGAUUGAUAGGGAUAGUUGGGGGCAUCGAUAUUUAAUUGUCAGAGGUGAAAUUCUUGGAUUUAUGAAAGAUCGACUUCCGCGAAAGCAUUUGCCAAGGAUGUUUUCA
rnacentral:rRNA from 1 species